UUCUGCCGCAUCCUGAGAAUGUGAGUGAGGCUAAAGGUGAAAGUAAUGGGAUAAUCCAUUCUGGAAAAGAAAAGUUAUGACAUCACAGCAUCUCGGCUGAGACAUGGCUACUUCUUACUGCUCUGGGCUGCUCUCAGUUAGGGAUCAGGACAAAUGUUCAGUUUGUCAAAAUGAGGAAGAAAAAGGCUGCUCUCAAGCUCUGACUGCAGGAGCUUCCAGCAGUAACUCUGACCCCUAUCAGUCAUGAAGUGUAACUUCAUUUCCUAAGAAAUGUAGGAAAUGUGAAACCUCAGAGCGCCACAGACUCCCCUACCUUCAUUUUCCUCGAAGAUGUCAGCUAAAGAGCACUGAGGUGGAUAUCAGACACCGGCAUGGAAGCACACUCCCACAAUCUCAGUGCUCAGGGCCGGAAGAUUACAACCUGAAGGCUAGCCAGGAUUACAGAGUAAAACCAUCACUAAAUCUAAAAGACACAUCUCAGAAGUAAGUAUCGACCAGUGCUCUCUACCUCAUUUCCUCAGAGACCAACCGUUGUAAGAACAGAACAGAACAGAACGCGCUCAGGAGCAGAGCUGCUAAGGGGCCUCACAGGAGGUGCCUGACAAAAGGCGCAUCCCCUCUACAAAGUCCUCCUUUCAUUUGUGAACAAAGAAUUUAGCCUAACUUGCAGGGUCUCACCUCCAUGCCGCUGUCACCAUCCUUGGAUUGCUGGAAAGCUUCCAUUGUCUCCCGGCACUCUCUGAGAUCGCUCUGCAGCUGAGACACCAGAUGUCGCUUCACGGAGUUGCUAGUGACCGACCCAAGAGCCUGGGUGGACCCCGGCAACCUCCAGAAAACUGAAACAAAACCAAGCUUCUCUAGACUCCGCGUUCUCCUCUCUCCUUGUCCAUUGCCUUUCUCUGCAGUAGUAAGCACUGGACCUAGUGGCCUGUGCAUGCUACCCAGGUGCUCUCCUGCUGAGCUGGGUCCCAGUCUCGAAACUCAACUCUAGUUUCAAUAAACUUAAGGCUUAGAAUAAGAUU
rnacentral:lncRNA from 1 species